GUUUAUGGUGUGUAUUUGCUGUAAAUAUGGACAGACAUUAUUUUUUUUGUGGGCUGUAGGUGGGCAUGAAGUUAGCAUGAGAUUGCCCAUAAAGAUAUACAUACAUGG